rnacentral:rRNA from 1 species
AGUUUGAUCCUGGCUCAGGAUGAACGCUAGCUACAGGCUUAACACAUGCAAGUCGAGGGGAAACGAUAUUGGAAGCUUGCUUCCGAUAGGCGUCGACCGGCGCACGGGUGAGUAACGCGUAUCCAACCUGCCCAUCACUUGGGGAUAACCUUGCGAAAGUAAGACUAAUACCCAAUGACGUCUCUAGAAGACAUCUGAAGGAGAUUAAAGAUUUAUCGGUGAUGGAUGGGGAUGCGUCUGAUUAGCUUGUUGGCGGGGUAACGGCCCACCAAGGCGACGAUCAGUAGGGGUUCUGAGAGGAAGGUCCCCCACAUUGGAACUGAGACACGGUCCAAACUCCUACGGGAGGCAGCAGUGAGGAAUAUUGGUCAAUGGACGAGAGUCUGAACCAGCCAAGUAGCGUGCAGGAUGACGGCCCUAUGGGUUGUAAACUGCUUUUAUAAGGGAAUAAAGUGAGUCUCGUGAGACUUUUUGCAUGUACCUUAUGAAUAAGGACCGGCUAAUUCCGUGCCAGCAGCCGCGGUAAUACGGAAGGUCCGGGCGUUAUCCGGAUUUAUUGGGUUUAAAGGGAGCGUAGGCCGGAGAUUAAGCGUGUUGUGAAAUGUAGAUGCUCAACAUCUGCACUGCAGCGCGAACUGGUUUCCUUGAGUACGCACAAAGUGGGCGGAAUUCGUGGUGUAGCGGUGAAAUGCUUAGAUAUCACGAAGAACUCCGAUUGCGAAGGCAGCUCACUGGAGCGCAACUGACGCUGAAGCUCGAAAGUGCGGGUAUCGAACAGGAUUAGAUACCCUGGUAGUCCGCACGGUAAACGAUGGAUGCCCGCUGUUGGUCUGAAUAGGUCAGCGGCCAAGCGAAAGCAUUAAGCAUCCCACCUGGGGAGUACGCCGGCAACGGUGAAACUCAAAGGAAUUGACGGAAGGG